rnacentral:miRNA from 1 species
UUGUGUGUGUAUGUGUGCACACUGUGUGUAUAUAUAUAUAUAUGUACACACACACACACACACACACACACACACACACACACACAC